UGCAGCCAAGUCAAAUUCAGUACCUUCUUCUCUAUGAAUCGUACUGGCCACAAUGGCUACGACAGUAAAUUAUUAGUCCAUGGGCCCCACAUUCCUCUAGUGGAUACUGGGGACAGAGACAAGACUAUGUACAGCU